rnacentral:tRNA from 1 species
AUUCAAGUAGCUUAAAAUAGAGCAUUGUAUUGAAGAUACAAAGGAGAUAUUAUAUUCUUGAAUA